ensembl:snRNA U6 U6 spliceosomal RNA
GUGCUAGCUUUAGCAGCACAUAUACUAAAGUUGGAACCAUACAGAGAAAAUUAGCAUGGCCCCCGAGCAAGGAUGACACACAAAUUUGUGAAGCGUUCCAUAUUUUA